rnacentral:rRNA from 1 species
GACGAACGCUGGCGGCGUGCUUAACGCAUGCAAGUCGAACGGAAAGGCCCUGCUUUUGUGGGGUGCUCGAGUGGCGAACGGGUGAGUAACACGUGAGUAACCUGCCCUUGACUUUGGGAUAACUUCAGGAAACUGGGGCUAAUACCGGAUAGGAGCUCCUGCUGCAUGGUGGGGGUUGGAAGGUUUCGGCGGUUGGGGAUGGACUCGCGGCUUAUCAGCUUGUUGGUGGGGUAGUGGCUUACCAAGGCUUUGACGGGUAGCCGGCCUGAGAGGGUGACCGGCCACAUUGGGACUGAGAUACGGCCCAGACUCCUACGGGAGGCAGCAGUGGGGAAUAUUGCACAAUGGGCGGAAGCCUGAUUCAGCAACGCCGCGUGCGGGAUGACGGCCUUCGGGUUUUAACCCGCUUUCGCCUGUGACGAAGCGCGAGUGACGGUAAUGGGUAAAGAAGCACCGGCUAACUACGUG